rnacentral:rRNA from 1 species
AAUGAACGCUGGCGGAAUGCCUAACACAUGCAAGUCGAGCGGCAGCACGGGGGCAACCCUGGUGGCGAGCGGCGAACGGGUGAGUAAUACACCGGAACAUGCCCUGUCGUGGGGGAUAACACUUCGAAAGAAGUGCUAAUACCGCAUACGUCCUGAGGGGGAAAGCGGGGGAUCGCAAGACCUCGCGCGAUUGGAGUGGCCGAUGUCAGAUUAGCUAGUUGGUGGGGUAAAGGCCUACCAAGGCAACGAUCCGUAGCUGGUCUGAGAGGAUGAUCAGCCACACUGGGACUGAGACACGGCCCAGACUCCUACGGGAGGCAGCAGUGGGGAAUUUUGGACAAUGGGGGCAAGCCUGAUCCAGCCAUGCCGCGUGAGUGAUGAAGGCCUUCGGGUUGUAAAGCUCUUUCGGCAGGAACGAAACGGUGAGCUCUAACAUAGCUUGCUAAUGACGGUACCUGAAGAAGAAGCACCGGCUAACUACGUG